UUGGAGGGCAAGUCUGGUGCCAGCAGCCGCGGUAAUUCCAGCUCCAAUAGCGUAUAUUAAAGUUGUUGCAGUUAAAAAGCUCGUAGUUGAAUUUCGGGAUCAAUUUAUUGGUCGUGCUAUUGUACGUACUGGUAUUAUUGAUUCCUACCUUCUGACGAACCAUGAUGUCAUUAAUUUGGUGUCUUGGGGAAUCAGGACUGUUACUUUGAAAAAAUUAGAGUGUUUAAAGCAGGCUCACGCUUGAAUACAUUAGCAUGGAAUAACGAAAUAGGACGUUUGAUUCUAUUUUGUUGGUUUCUAGGAUCGACGUAAUGAUUAAUAGGGAUAGUUGGGGGCAUUAGUAUUCAAUUGUCAGAGGUGAAAUUCUUGGAUUUAUUGAAGACUAACUACUGCGAAAGCAUUUGCCAAGGAUGUUUUCAUUAAUCAAGAACGAAAGUUAGGGGAUCGAAGACGAUCAGAUACCGUCGUAGUCUUAACCAUAAACUAUGCCGACUAGGGAUCGGAUGAUGUUAAUUUUUUAAUGACUCAUUCGGCGCCUUACGGGAAAC
rnacentral:rRNA from 2 species